AUCCACCUGUUUUUUUGUUCAAAUAAUUAUUCGAAAUUUACUGAAGAAUUUCUUGAAAAACCAUAAUUAUUAUAAACUAUAUAAUUAAGGUAAACACACAGAUUAAAAACCAAUUCUAUAUUUUUUAAAUGCAAAGGUGAAAAAAAUGACAGUAAUCCUCAAGUUUGUCUAUAUUGCGAUCUUUUUUGUUUCUCUAAUUUUUGGUGUAGUCAGCGGUAAAAAAAAAUGUGCUUCUGAAUCCGAUUGUUAUACGAUGUUUCCAGUUCCCCAUUUUAUAGUUAUGACGUGCAUCGAAAAGAAAUGUCAUAUUACUGGGAUUUAUUACUAAUUAAUUAAUUAAGACGGCGUGCAAGACUAGUUUGCUUUGCUUUGGUGAGUAGCUUGAGGAUAGCUUGGAUGCUACCUUGUUUUACUGCUUUUGGUGUCUUAGACUUUAGGGCUCUGAUUAGGGGUCGGUCUUUGAUGUUAUCUUUAUUAUACUGUUGAGAAUUUUGAGACUAUGUACUGAUGAUGAUACGUAAUUUCGAGACAUGGUUAUUUGGAGACGUAAUUUAUUAUGGAUGACUGUUGAGAUGAUUUAUUUAAAUGUCGAUGUAAUGAUGUUUUUGUUCCACUGCGAUGUUUGAAGAAAUUAUUAUGCAUGCUUGGUGAUUUAUUGAA